rnacentral:rRNA from 1 species
GAUGAACGCUGGCGGCGUGCCUAAUACAUGCAAGUCGAGCGAACGGACGAGAAGCUUGCUUUUCUGAUGUUAGCGGCGGACGGGUGAGUAACACGUGGAUAACCUACCUAUAAGACUGGGAUAACUUCGGGAAACCGGAGCUAAUACCGGAUAAUAUUUUGAACCGCAUGGUUCAAAAGUGAAAGACGGUCUUGCUGUCACUUAUAGAUGGAUCCGCGCUGCAUUAGCUAGUUGGUAAGGUAACGGCUUACCAAGGCAACGAUGCAUAGCCGACCUGAGAGGGUGAUCGGCCACACUGGAACUGAGACACGGUCCAGACUCCUACGGGAGGCAGCAGUAGGGAAUCUUCCGCAAUGGGCGAAAGCCUGACGGAGCAACGCCGCGUGAGUGAUGAAGGUCUUCGGAUCGUAAAACUCUGUUAUUAGGGAAGAACAUAUGUGUAAGUAACUGUGCACAUCUUGACGGUACCUAAUCAAAAAGCCCCGGCUAACUACGUG